UACGGGGGGGGCAAGCGUUGUUCGGAAUUACUGGGCGUAAAGGGCUCGUAGGUGGCCAACUAAGUCGAACGUGAAAUCCCUGGGCUCAACCCAGGAACUGCGUCCGAUACUGGUUGGCUUGAAUCCGGGAGAGGGAUGUGGAAUUCCAGGUGUAGCGGUGAAAUGCGUAGAUAUCUGGAGGAACACCGGUGGCGAAGGCGACAUCCUGGACCGGUAUUGACGCUGAGGCGCGAAAGCUAGGGGAGCAAACGGG
rnacentral:rRNA from 1 species